rnacentral:snRNA from 1 species
ACCGUUUAUAGACCGGACCGCU